AUACUUCCAUCUCUAACUACCUUGAUUAAAUAGAUUGGUCAUUUGUAAACAUGCCUAAAGAAAAUUAUAAACAAAAAGUUAGAGACGUCUGGCUACAGAGCUCAGAAUUCAAGGAAUGGCUGAGAAAGGACUUGACUGAUUUGACAAGGGCUUAUUGCAGCUAUUGCAAGUGUAGCAUCAACGCUAAAUUGUGUGAUUUGCGGGUACAUGCAAUUUCCAAGAAGCACACCGGAGCCCUAAAUGCUUUCGCCCAAAAAAACAAAAUUGAAUUCAAAAAAAUGCCGACCAAGACCAUAGAACAGGAAGUAGCACUGUGUCUUUUUGUGGCAAAGCAUACAGCAAUAAGCCCUGUUGACCAUCUGAGCAACAUAUGCUCCACAAAAUUUGAUGACAGCAGUAGUGCUUCUCGCAUUAAACUUCAUCGAACGAAGUGUACACACAUUAUAAAAAAUGUUCUGGCUGUCCAUUUUUACGAUGACCUCCAUAGAGAUAUUGGAGACAAAAAAUUUAGUUUACUUCUGGACGAAUCGACAGACAUAAGCUUUACGAAACUUCUCGUAUGUAUAUAGGUGUGGUAGUUAACUACUUUUCUGCAGAACAUGGAGUAGUUGUAUCGACGUUCCUUAGCUUGAUACCCGCUUGAAAUACAUUCUUUACCUUGGUCGAACGCCGAAGUGGAAAGGGUUUUUAGCCAAGUUAAUUUAAUAAAAAAUAAAAUAAGAAAUAGGAUGAACGUUGACACGUUAAAUUCAAUAUUAACCAUAAGAUCCGGAUUGAGCCGACACAACAAAUGUUGCUUUGAUUACAAAGUUUCUUCAAUCUGCCUGAAGUCUAUAGAAAAUGUGGAACAAUUAGAUAAUGAGCCCGAACAGUCUGUAGACAAUCUAAUAGCAGGUUUAAUGUCAUUUAAAUGAACUUUAUAAGUUUAAAUUUCUUUUGUUUUCGUUUUUUUUU